CCCAGCAAGAGAGACUGGCCUCUUCAUACAAGGCUUGGCACGUCCUGUCAAAACUAUCAAUACAAGUUCUAUUGAAUAUGGCAGAGGGAAGGCACAUCUGCCGAUGAUGAGAUCGUGUCACUGGACUCCAGAAGGCUUGAGAAAGCAAUUCAUACAGGUUUGGAUAGAACUUCAAAAGAAGAAUCAGAUGGUCCAGAACAUAUAAAGGUAUUUUGUUGUUUACUAAAAGAUUAGAACCAUUUUCAAAAUUUAUUUUAUUAUCCCUUUAUUCGAGUUGAAAGAGACUAACAAAUGGAACAUUUAUUUAGAAUAAG
ensembl:lncRNA